CCAGACUCCUACGGGAGGCAGCAGUGGGGAAUAUUGCACAAUGGGGGGAACCCUGAUGCAGCGACGCCGCGUGAGUGAAGAAGUCAUUCGUGAUGUAAAGCUCUAUCAGCAGGGAAGAAAAUGACGGUACCUGACUAAGAGGCCCCGGCUAACUACGUGCCAGCAGCCGCGGUAAUACGUAGGGAGCAAGCGUUGUCCGGAAUUACUGGGCGUAAAGGGCGCGUAGGUGGGCGCUUAAGUCAGGUGUGAAAACUCCGGGCUCAACCUGGAGACUGCACUUGAAACUGGGGGCCUUGAGUGGGCGAGAAGAAGGCGGAAUGCGUGGUGUAGCGGUGAAAUGCAUAGAUAUCACGCAGAACCCCGAUUGCGAAGGCAGCCUUCCGGCGCCCUACUGACGCUGAGGCACGAAAGUGCGGGGAUCGAACAGGAUUAGAUACCCCAGUA
rnacentral:rRNA from 1 species